GCAGGAAGCAAGAGGAGCCACGUUACAUCCCAGCUCCCUCCGAGCAGCUCCAAAGGCAGGGAGGAGGCAGACUUCRGCUGGCUUCAGGGCCACCCAGCUGGUGUUUGAAGUCCCCAUGCCAUCCUUUCCAGCACCCGGCCUGUUCUUCAUAAUGUGAAGCUUUCUUGGCUUCUGCAUGUUCGUUGCCUCUCUCCAGAUCUCACAUGYCUUCUUCUCCAGAUCUCCCUCUUGUUCUUUAUGGGUCAUUUUAGUCACUUUUGGGGCCAUUUCUUCCUUCGCAGGUCACACACUUGCAGGACUGUCUUCUUCCCAUCUCACUUCCUGGGUGUCUCUCCCUGAAAAAUCCCUUUAAAUACCUAACCUUCCCUUGCCUUCACAACCCCUAUACCACCUCACCACCAUGAAUUGACCUCCGUGUACUUAAUUACUCACCACAUCUCAUAGACAACCAUUCUCCGUAUUAACCUGCACAGACGCAAGCUGUACUUCAUCAAUCUUAAACCCACUUAUGAUGUUUUCUCCCCACAGCUUUGCUGGUCCUCUUCCCCCCUGCUAUGACGGGCUCUACCUGGAAUGGAAUGAAAGACGCGUGUGGCCCUGGACGCCUGGACCCAUGAACAGCGGAGAUGGCRUCUGUGGCAGCGGUGCGGGAAUUAAGUGGCUAUGCAGAGGGUGUUCACAGAAAAAUGCCCCAAAAGCAGAACRCAAUUGAGACCCAGAAGCCAGAUAGUACCCAGAGCCUCUGGCCCACCUUCGUGCAGCCUCUAGCACAGGGAGUUACCACUAGAGACACUACUUGCCUUUGCAAGGGCAAACAGCAGCGAGGGAGGUGCAGUUCAGCAGGACUCGCUCCGGGCAGSGAUGCCGGCCUCUCCUUGCUGAGCAGCGCCAAGGGCUGCCAGCUGCAGGCCUGGCUUUGCCCCAAGCGCAGCGGAGGCCACAGCUGGGAUGGGCGCAGGGUGCCGACGCGACGUGCUGGGAGGGAGGUCAUGGCUCAGCCUGGCCCACAGCAGCUCCAGGCACAGAGGACUCGUGCACAGCGCGAGCACCCAGGGGGUCUCCAGAGACCUUCAAGGCUGGCCGAGCCCUCCGGCAAUGAUCCUGCAACACAYAGAGAAAAGAUCUGUGGUCACCUGGGC
rnacentral:lncRNA from 1 species